CUGAGAGUGUUUAUAGAGUUGUGAGUUUAACACUUCAUGACUGAGAGCAGAACAGAACACAAUCUUCAUCAUCACACAAGACACAACAACAACAAUGAACAACAUCAUCAUCCUCAUCUGGACCAUUGCAGCUUUUAUUCAAGCCUCCAGAGGAGUCACUCUGACUCAACCUAAAGUUAAAACUGUCCAGCUCGGUCAAACAGCUACAAUAGAGUGUAACAUAGAUGUAGGGAUAUAUAGUGACUACUUAUACUGGUAUCAGCAGAAACCUGGAGAAGCUCAUAAACUCCUCAUAAAAUUCAUAAGCACCCUCCAGUCAGGAACUCCAUCUAGAUUCAGUGGCAGUGGGACAGCAAAUACUGGAAAAGAUUUCACUCUGACCGUCAGUGGAGUCCAGACUGAAGAUACAGGAGAUUAUUACUGUCAGAGUUUACACUCUAUCAGUAGUAGCUGGGUGUUCACACAGUGAUAAAGAGUCGUACAAAAACCUCCGUCAGUCAGAGUCACAGUGACUGCACUGAUACAGCUGAGAGACACUGCAGCUGCUGAUGGAGGUUAUUUCUUAUAACAGUCUCAUUUACUCAAAAAUGUUAAAGUCUUGUACUGAUUUAUGAAUCUUUCUGGUUCUUUAAUGUGUGUUUCACUCAUUACUUCACCAUGGAUGUAUUUAAUUCAUCAUUUAAAAUGUUCCAGCAUUAAACAAUCCAAUGUAAUCUGAAGAUACUUACAGUAUAGUACAGUAUGCAGGGAAACGGUGUCCUUUCAAUCCAGAAUCACACAAAAUAAGUUAAUCAUAGCAACUCCUUUUGCGUGUCAUAGAACAUUAAACUUUAAUUCCUAUUAUCUUUUUCUUCUUCUUCCAAAGUGAAAAUCUCAAAUGAUGUUUUGUGUUAAGAAUCAUUCUGUGAGUCAGUAGUGAAAAUUAUGUUUUUGGAUUUCCCACAAUCAAAUUAUAUUUUCACACUUUUUUCAUAAUUAAUAUUAUAGCUUGA